GAUGAACGCUAGCGGCAGGCUUAACACAUGCAAGUCGAGGGGUAUUUAUCUUCGGAUAGAGAGACCGGCGAACGGGUGCGUAACGCGUAUGCAAUCUACCUUUUACAGAGGGAUAGCCCAGAGAAAUUUGGAUUAAUACCUCAUAGUAUAUAGACUCGGCAUCGAGAUUAUAUUAAAGUCACAACGGUAAAAGAUGAGCAUGAGUCCCAUUAGCUAGUUGGUAAGGUAACGGCUUACCAAGGCUACGAUGGGUAGGGGUCCUGAGAGGGAGAUCCCCCACACUUGUACUGAGACACGGACCAGACUCCUACGGGAGGCAGCAGUGAGGAAUAUUGGACAAUGGGCGCAAGCCUGAUCCAGCCAUGCCGCGUGCAGGAUGACGGUCCUAUGGAUUGUAAACUGCUUUUAUACGAGAAGAAACACUGCUACGUGUAGCAGCUUGACGGUAUCGUAAGAAUAAGAAUCGGCUAACUCCGUG
rnacentral:rRNA from 1 species